rnacentral:rRNA from 1 species
AGCGAACGUUAGCGGCGCGCCUAACACAUGCAAGUCGCACGAGAAAGGGGGCAACCCCCGGUACAGUGGCGCACGGGUGAGUAACACGUGGGUGAUCUGCCCAGAAGAAGGGGAUAACCUCUCGAAAGGGGGGCUAAUACCGCAUAGGACCACCGGGGCUUUGGCUCUGUGGUGAAAGGGGGCCUCUGUUUACAAGCUCCUGCUUCUGGAUGAGCCCGCGUCCCAUCAGCUAGUUGGUAGGGUAAUGGCCUACCAAGGCUACGACGGGUAGCUGGUCUAAGAGGAUGGCCAGCCACACUGGAACUGAGACACGGUCCAGACUCCUACGGGAGGCAGCAGUGGGGAAUCUUGCGCAAUGGGCGAAAGCCUGACGCAGCGACGCCGCGUGGGUGACGAAGGCCUCGGGUUGUAAGCCUGUGGGUAGAACGAACUAGGCAUCGGGCGUAAUAUACCCGGUGUCUUGACGGUACUGCCUUAGCAAGCAUCGGC